UGAAGGUAUAUAUGAUGCCCCCCCACGGGGGCCUCACAGCGUAUCCACGAUAGGGGGACCAGCCCGCGCCGUUCGAUCUUGGAGGCAGCGCCCGCGUCGAUCCGGACCGCCCGUCUUCGGAACAAAACCGAAACCGACGAAACCUAGCCCGAAGGCCCAAUCCCCUCGCUUCCUCCUCCCCAAUCGACUGGCCUCCUCCUCCCCCAAUCGCACCUCGUCCAGUUGCCGCCGCCGCCCCCACGUCGAUCCCAACCGCGCCUCCGCCCGUCGCCGCUGCCGACGACGAAGGUCCCAGACCGCGCCCCAUCCCCGUCGUUUGUGCCUCGUGGUCUUCUCCAUCGAGACAGCAAGCCGCCUCUCUCCCAAUCCCCGCACGCGGCUGUCUCCCCAAUCCCCUCCCUCCUGGAUGGGAAUAGGCGAAGCCGCACCGCGUCGCAAGAGGGAGCCUGGAGCGGCGAAAUCAGCUACGUCGACGAAUCGAGCGUGGCCGCAUCUCGUGUGGUCUUCCUCUUACGUCCCAGUCUGAAUCUCCUCAUGAACACGUGAGGGAGGUGAUACUGACUCGAGCGCCGCCGCAGUUCCCUUCCCUGGAAGCCUACAGCUCCACGGGUCCUGCUCGAUGGUCGUGCUUGUCGCGUGCCCGUGGGCUGGGCGCCUGAAGCAGGGCAAGGCAGAGCAUGCGCUGGCCUAUGAACUUUGCUAUUUUUCAGGUAUCAGGAAAUGGAAUCACCUGAUGUUUGCAAGCCAUGCCCGACAUAACUGGUCGAUAUGAGAUGUUGCUCAAGGAGAAUAAUAUUUGAUCAAUGAAGCUAACAUACACAUGAGUCAAAGGAUUCAGUUCAUGCCUCUUAGUGUUGUUGUUUCAUUUAUGCUAGCUUCAUUAACAUGCAGCUAGAACAACAACAGAGAUACAAGCAUGAUGAAGACACUCGAGAGACCUGCAAUAACUCUCUUAUGUCUCCUCCGGCGCCCCAUACAUGCAGCUAGAACAACAACAGAGACACAAGCAUGAUGAAGACACUCGAGAGACCUGCAAUAAGUGGAGACGAGAUAAUGGUAGUAUGAUUCAGAUUUGAGGAAACACCGUGUGACUUGCUUCUCUUCAGUGGAUGUUUACGCAAGAUAAUCUCUGCGAAAACUUGAAUUUUUUUAUGGUUUGAGUUAAUUGAUGGUAGAUUGCUAUUGUUUGUACAUAUGUUUGUUAUGCACUUACCGUUUACUCAUGAUAUAGUUUUAACUCAAGCAUGGUUAAUAUAGUGUUCGGAGAAGAUGAGAAAGGAUCAUUUCUCUUAAAUGUUUCACCAAGGUACAUGGGUGCAACUUUGUUGUAUUGAACAUGAUUCAUUUGCAUUGGUUUAGCUUUGGGUGAUGCAAGCCCUAAUCAUAUUUACAUUUCCUUUCCGUUGUCGCUUUUAAAGACCAUGUUGCGAUGGCCGACAAUGCAUUGCCUAUGUAGAUGAUAAUUUUAGCGUUCCUUGUCUCGGCAAAAUCAACAACUGUUAAUUUCUAUAUUAUAUAUAUUCCUCUGGUUAUUUACUGUGGUUUGUGAUGAUUUGUAAAACGUAAAAAUUAUUAGCAUUUCCCUAUCUAUACAUGGGUCUUACGGGAUCAUGUGCCAAGGCGCACCCAAUAUGUAUUUUUUUUUCUUUAGGUAGCGGCUUUUGAAGAGAACAGAAGUCUAUGGACUGAGCUAACAUACAUAUGAGUCAAAGGAUUCAGUUCAUGCCUCUUACUGUUGGUUUUUCAUUUAUGUUGGCUUUAUUAACGAGAAUCAGUAAUGUAUUAUUUUCAUCAUCUUCUGUACAAUAGAUGUUGAUGAUUCAUCUUCAGAUAUAUGUUCGUUUUUGGGACCAGAGUACCAAUUCAAUAGGCUGCUAGAUGGACUGGAAACCAGAUAUGUUUUCUCUGCAAUUUCAGGUCCAUUGCGUGCCUAAUGCUAUCUCCUUGUGGACCCAGGCAGGGAAAUAUCCUAGGAUGCAUCUUGCUGAAUUUAUCAAUUUUAUUCUAUUUGAAAACGUGGUAUGCUUCACCAAGCCUUCGACAUGUCAAAAAUACUCUGCUAUUUUGAUCAUACUUGCUAUUUUGAUUCAUCUGGGGUAGCUAUGAUCUAUUAUUAGUAUAUCCUGGUAUAUGUGCUCCCCUUUAGGUUAUGCUUGACAAUUAUGCAUCAUAUCAAUUUAUGUUAUCUCAGAUGUUGGAUUUUAUAAAUAGCGCUCUUAAUAGCCUUUGUGGAUGCCUGUCACCUAAUGUUUCUAACUAUUAGCGGUAAGGGUUAUUGCAUUUUUCUUAAGUUGGCCUUCAUAGUAAUAUGAUUUCUCCAUUAACAGAAAAAUAUAGGUAAUACUGCUGACCUCAAAAUAGAAAUUAGCUUUCCUAGGUACUUUAUCUUUCAACCUUUCCACUUGGUAGGAAUAUUUUGUUCAGGUUCAGAGAUGGUUCUUCAUUCUUGGCUUGGGUUGAACUUGCUCUUUGUUAUUAGGCUGCUUCUUUUAGGGUUAAUGUGUGAGUUCCUCUUUUCAAUUUAGUACAUCCACCCUGUGUGUAAAUGUUUUAUUUAUUUGUUGUAUGUCCUCUUCCUUUAACUCAUCUCUAGCAUGAAGAGCUUGCUCACCACUAUUGCUUCCAGUCAGGAUGGGAUGAUGUUGUUUAGGAGGUGUUCAUAGUACCAGGUCUCCAUAGACAUGACCGUUUCAGAAUAGGAACAAGGUAAUAACACUCCUGAUUGAGAAUCUCAUGGCGUGUCUAUUGUUUCUGGAUUACACCUUCCCAUGUGCUGUGACUAUUGUUCCCUUGAUUGACAAUCUCAUGCAACACUUCAGAGAUUGUUAGUUAAAUUUGUAUGCAAAUAUGCAAUCUUAUACUAUCACACGCACUUUAGUUUAAAAUGCUUAACAUAGAUAUCGAACUGCAUUUUUGUAUUAUUUUUAGUUGUUGUACUAUUAUUCCUCCUAUUUUGUCAGCCCAGAAAGAUAAAGGGAAGUUUCUGCUGCACAAAGAUUCAUAAAUGGGAUACAUAAUAGAUCAUCUCUUACGUAUCUGAUUAUCUAUGUCCAGGAUGCAGUCUAGGUGUUUGAAAACUGAAGUGAAACCUGCUAUGUAAGGACAUUGUUCGUAUUUUGCAAUGCAACUAUUCCAGAUGCUUUAGAUUUCAGAGCAUUUGGGUUGUUAUGCAUGUAUGAAUGUUUUCUCUUUAUGUUGUGCAUUUGAACUGUGGUAGUUUGGAGUGUGCUCGUUUAUUUACCUGCAUGCUUCUUUUGCUUGUAUCAACACCCAUUUGUUCUAAUUAUAUUUUGUUGUGCUUUCUACUGCUUUUAGUGCAGUUUAAUUCAUAGAAAGUAAGCACAGUUAAGCAUGUUAACCUCUUCUUUUUCUUAGAUGCAUCUUACAUCACUACAAAAUAUGAUAUGGUGUCGAGUGUUGCUCUGUUCUUUCAUUCUGUCAAUUGUGGUAUAUUGCAAAGCUACUCGUUCUUUGGCGUAGCUCCUGAGAUGAGACUUGUUCUUCAGUUUCUCAAGAUGUUUGUGAGCACCCAGCUCCGAUGCCUCAUUUAGCUUUCAUGUCAUCCUAUGUUAUGGUGGUUAAACCUGUAGUUGGUCAUUUUGACAGUCAAUGUAAAAUGAGCCAACCCGACCGUAGAGCCUAAGCAAAAAAACAAAGGCUGACUGACGUUUGCCCAUGGAAAUAGUGGAUUAGUUCGUAUCCCUUCAAGAAUCAAUAGUUGUGAUACCUUGAAGAAUAAUGAAGAAAUUAUGCUGUGUACGAUUAGUGAAAGGUAAUUCUCAUAGACAUAGGCCCUUUUAAUUGUUCAUCAUAUUCCUCUGAUAUAUUAUCCAUGUUUUUGAGAUUAUGUUUCCUAAACAGUUGUCUUUCCUUUCCAUGUGGCUUAGCUACAAGUGUUUAGUAUUGAAGCACCUCUUUCUUUGUUGUCUUUUUUUUUCUUAACUGUAUCCUGCUCAUAUCCUGGAAAUAUUUGGAGUAAACUUAGGUAUAGAAAACGUUAGUUUAUAUUUAGGAUGGUGCACUUCUCAAAAUAAAAUCAAUAUUCUUUACUUAGUGGCUGCGUUGCCAAAAUGUGGUCAUGUGUACUCAAUACUACUGUGAUAGUAGGCUGAUACGCAUAAAGUUUUUAGAUGCAGCAUUAGAGCUUAUUCCGUUUACAUUGGUUUCUAUUUCUAGAUAUCUACAUGAUGUGGUGUUUCCUUAUGAUUCUGUUUUUCCGUUGAAUACAUUUAGUUCUAAUCAGAAUUACAAUAGAUUUGUUGUAGGGUCUAAGAGUCUUUUAGUAGAGUACCGAGAUUUUUAAAAAAGUGUCUUCUACCCAUGAAUAGUCUCCUUCAAACAAGUGAAAGUGCCAAUGAUCUACGUUUUACGAGUUCAUUCUUUUAUACAUAUCAUUACACAUAGUUUUUCCAGAUGGGCUCUUCCACUUGCCACUUGAUAUCAGAAUUUAAAGUGGAAGGCCUUUUUUACUGCUAUGUUGGAUCUCAAGGAAUACUAAGAUAUAAUAGACAUGAUGUAGUUAUGACCAUCUACCUUUUAUAAAAUACUGCUGCCCCUUUUUUAAUGGUAGAUUUCUUUUGUUUAGAAAUGGAAAUACUGCUUAGGUCAUCCUAUGGACCCGCUACGUUUUCUUUGCUCUACAUGUUUGGUUUCUUCUCAAAUUUAUUUUAUACUGUCACAUUGUUCAGUCAAGGAACAACUCGAGCAACAUGUACAUAUUUCAGGCAAUGGAACCUGUGAUGGCUUGCUAAGAGCUGGAGAAAAGCAUUUAUAGUGUCCCUUACAGGUGGAUGUAUGCUUGUAUUUCUGCUUGGAUACUGUAUGAAGAAACUUAAAAAUGUAUAUUCAAAUUUGGUGCACCAUAUUUCUUUUUAUUGUGCCAUACUUUGUCCAUGACAGCAAGUAUGAUUUGUGUCGCAGACGUUGAGAAAAUCCUCUUGACCCACUAAAUAUCCAUGGCUACUGAUCUGGUGAAACUAAUAUUGGUAGCAAGUUGAACUGUACUUCAUGGAUGACAAGAUGUAGUUAUGUCGCUUCACGUUGUAUGAUAAUAUCAUUUGCCCAUUUCACUUCCAAACUAAAAUCGCUGAUUAUAAGUUAAUUGGUUCAUUCCCAAUUAUGUGCUCUCUUCCCAUCUGUUAUUUAGAUUAUGUGCCUUUUAAUUUGAAUCCUCUCUGAUGUGUGCAGACAUGAAAUAUUUUCAAUUGCUUUUCAGUUCUGAAAUUAGCUCCUCUCUUCAUGUAUUGCCGUGGGACUAAUCAAGGACCUGAUCAUCGAAGGUGGCGGUAAGGCGUGUGAGCAAUUAAUUAUCAGGUGUUAGCUUGGAAAGGCAUAUGCAAGUGUUGUCUUUGGGAGCCUUGAAUUCCUGCAAGUUCAUUUCCAACAACAAAUGUAGAUUUUGAUUCCUAAAUAUAAUAAGAAACUGAAUCUGUAUUACAUUUUCGUUCAGUAAUAUGUGACUAUCUGUGCCAGUUUUGUACAUAUUAGAAAAAAAACUACAAUCAAGACAAAUUUAAACACAUGUUAUCUGAUUCUUUAUGAAUAUUUGAAAUAGGGUUUUAUCAUCGAUUUGUACAAAUGCUAACACGGAGGUUUGUUAAUUCUGGAGCUUUUGUAAUUCUCAAAAUAUAUUGCUUUAGUGAAAUUUUUAGUGCAGUU